GGGUUGCCCUACAUGGACCCCUCAGGUGCCUCCCAGGCUAAAUUAUUCUGCAAUUCUGUGAUCAGCACACAGGACAAGAGAAAGUGGAACACAGUGUAGGCAAUUUUGCAACCUCUUCAUAUUCACCCUAUGGCAGUGCCACCCAAGACCAAGCUGGAUCUCCAAACUUCCCACACCAAAAGUCUUCACUCAAGGGCAUACCAGUGCCUAGGAGCUGUACCAGCCAUUCAGAAGGCAGCCAGUGCUGCAGCUGUUGACGGCAAAGACAGAGAUCAGAAGUGCUCUAGGAAGGCUGUCAAGAGCCAGCAGGCACUAAGCAAUGACAGCAGACUGCAAUCCAAGUGCAGCCUAGCUACAUGCAUCGGUGAUAGGUAAACUCAAACAGGUCUUAGCCCAGAGCCUGUCUGGCAAAAGAGAAAAAGAGGAGGAGGAGGAAGCAGGAUGGGAAGUGCCAUGGGAAAGAGGAUUUCUACUGAACAACUUUGGUGCUGCUGUGAAUGCUGACCUGCCACAGCUGGAUCUCCUCCUUGCUCUGUCUGUGUCUAGGAAGGUGUGGAGCAGAAACAAGGCCAGUAGAGGAGCAAGCAGGCUGCUGAAGAGGAC